AGGCUAGUUCAAGAUUAGCCAUGCAUGUCUAAGUAUAAACAAAAUUUAUAGUGAAACUGCGAAUGGCUCAUUAAAUCAGUUAUAAUAUACCUGAUAAUUUUAUACCAGUGGAUAACCGUGGUAAUUCUAUGGCUAAUACAUACGUGAAAGGGCUAUGCUAUGCAUAGCCUGUAGUUAUUAGGUACAAAACCAAUAGUAGGCAACUACUUUUUGGUGACUCAUAGUAAACUUAUUGAUCGUUGUCUUUGACGACGUAUCAGUCUAAUUUCUGCCCUAUCAACUGUCGAUGGUAAGGUAGUGGCUUACCAUGGUUGUAACGGGUGACGGGGAAUAAGGGUUCUAUUCCGGAGAGGGAGCCUGAGAAACGGCUACCACAUCCAAGGAAGGCAGCAGGCGCGCAAAUUACCCAAUCCUGAUACAGGGAGGUAGUGACAAUAAAUAACAAUCCAGGGCCCUUUAGGGUCAUGGAAUUGGAAUGAAUACAAAUUAAAACUCUUAAUGAGGAACCAUUGGAGGGUAAGUCUGGUGCCAGCAGCCGCGGUAAUUCCAGCUCCAAUAGCGUAUAUUAAAGUUGUUGCAGUUAAAACGCCCGUAGUCUAACUUUUGGGAGUGAGGGAAUCUAGGGGGAUAGUUGGCCUUGGUCAACUAUUUUUCUGGGUUUCUGAGCUUUCAGAUUUAAUUUCUAGCCUUUGGGUCUAUGAGUAACUUUACUGUUAUGAGUAGAUCAUCUCCCUUAACUGGGUGGGCUAGAAAUGAUUACUUUGAAAAAAUUAGAGUGUUCAAAGCGAGCUUUUUAAGCUGAAUAUAUUAGCAUAGAAUAAUAAAAUAGGAUUUUGGUCUUAUUUUGUUGGUUUUAAUACCAAAAAAAUGAUGAAUAGGUUUGGUUGGGGAUAUUAAGUAUUUAAUAGCUAGAAGGUGAAAUUCUUGGAUUUUUGAAAAAACUAACUUCCGCGAAAGGCAUUUUAUCAAGGACAUAUUCAUUGAUCAUGGACAAAAGUUGGGGGGAUCGAAGGAUGAUUUAGAAACCGUCCUUAUUCUCCAACCAUAUACUUAUGCCAACCCACGCGAUUGGGGCCAGAUUUUAUUGCACCCCAUCACCCUUGUGGUGAAAACCAAAGUUUUUGGAGUUCUUGGGGAGCAAAUUUUGGUUCGCCAGGACGAAACACUUAAAAAAGAUUUGACAGUGAAGGGCCACUCUCCCCGGAUGGUACCCCCCCGCCCAGAAAAUAAGCACCUAACAGUGGGAUAUUUUUUAACCCGGUCCAUAAUAUACAGUUAGGAAG
rnacentral:rRNA from 2 species